AUUGAACGCUGGCGGCAUGCCUUACACAUGCAAGUCGAACGGUAACAGGUCUUCGGAUGCUGCCGAGUGGCGAACGGGUGAGUAAUACAUCGGAACGUGCCCGAUCGUGGGGGAUAACGAGGCGAAAGCUUUGCUAAUACCGCAUACGAUCUACGGAUGAAAGCGGGGGAUCUUCGGACCUCGCGCGGACGGAGCGGCCGAUGGCAGAUUAGGUAGUUGGUGGGAUAAAAGCUUACCAAGCCGACGAUCUGUAGCUGGUCUGAGAGGAUGAUCAGCCACACUGGGACUGAGACACGGCCCAGACUCCUACGGGAGGCAGCAGUGGGGAAUUUUGGACAAUGGGCGAAAGCCUGAUCCAGCCAUGCCGCGUGCAGGAUGAAGGUCUUCGGGUUGUAAACUGCUUUUGUACGGAACGAAAAGCCUCUUUCUAAUAAAGAGGGGUCAUGACGGUACCGUAAGAAUAAGCACCGGCUAACUACGUG
rnacentral:rRNA from 1 species